UCCUAGUUUCCUAGGCAGUUCCAUCAGAGUGCCUCACAAAGAGUAGCAACUGACGGCAGGGGUUGCGCUCGUUAAAGGACUUAACCCAACAUCUCACGACACGAGCUGACGACAGCCAUGCAGCACCUGUGUACCUGUCCAAACUUACGUUUGGAAAACCCUAUUUCUAGAGCGAUCAGGCACAUGUCAAACCCAGGUAAGGUUUCUCGCGUAGUGUCGAAUUAAACCACAUGUUCCACCGCUUGUGCGGACCCCCGUCAAUUCCUUUGAGUUUUAAUCUUGCGACCGUACUUCCCAGGCGGAUCACUUAACGCGUUAGCUACGACACUGAUCCCGCAGAGCGGAACCAACGUCUAGUGAUCAUCGUUUACGGCGUGGACUAC
rnacentral:misc_RNA from 1 species